GAAAUGCGAUAAGUAAUGUGAAUUGCAGAAUUCCGUGAAUCAUCGAAUCUUUGAACGCACAUUGCGCCCUUUGGCAUUCCAAAGGGCAUGCCUGUUCGAGCGUCAUUUGUACCCUCAAGCUCUGCUUGGUGUUGGGCGUCUUGUCUCUAGCUUGGCUGGAGACUCGCCUUAAAGUAAUUGGCAGCCGGCCUACUGGUUGCGGAUCGCAGCACAAGUCGCACUCGCUAUCAGCAAAGGUCUAGCAUCCAUUAGGACUUUUUUUCAACUUUUGACCUCGGAUCAGGUAGGGAUACCCGCUGAACUUAA
rnacentral:misc_RNA from 1 species